CUCAGCAUCCGAGCAAUUGCCAGUGAAUCCAAUCCCAAACCCUCGCAGUCCAUUCCUACUCUCUCUCUCUCUCUCUCCCGCUCGCGCUCCUCGAUCGGCAGCGGCGGUGCUCUCCUCCUCCGUCGAGCGAUGGACGAGGCGGCUCUGCAACUCGUCGCCGACGUCGGCGCUCAGAUUCUCCGGCAAUCUCGCCCGAACAAGGAUUUUCUCGUCAAAUCGCUCCGUAAAGCUGCAAAUGCAUUGUCCCAAAUAGAGCAACCUUCAGUGCUAGAGGCUGCACAGCAGGUGGAAGCUGCCGAAAAGGUUCAAGAUGCCUUAAAGCCUAUAAGGGAGACAAUAGUGAAGCAUUCUCUUGCUCGACAUAAAGACAGGGAUGUUAGGCUUCUUGUCUCCAUAUGUGCAAGUGAAAUCUUUCGAGUGAUGGCCCCUGAGCCACCUUUUGAAGACAAAUAUCUUCCGGACAUCUUCAAACUAAUUGCUAGCACGUUCGAGGAGCUGGCUGACACAGAGAGCCCAUACUUUUCAAAGAGGGUUAAAAUACUAGAGACCAUUGCACGUUGUAAAUGCUGGGUGGUAUUGUUGGAUAGCGAUUGUAGUGAUCUUAUCCUUGAAAUGUUCAACGUCCUCUUCUCCAUUGUGAGAGAAAAACAUGAAAAGACUUUGAUUAAUGAUGUCAUGUCGAUAUUGACACAUAUCAUUGAUGAGGAAGCUUCUGAGCAGCUCUUGGAAGUGAUACUGCGAAAUCUUUUGAAAGAGGAAAAGGGUGUACCAUCUGCUUCUUCUCAGCUUGCCGUCUCUGUCCUGCAAACUUGUUGCCAGAAGCUUGAACCCUUUGUCCGUGGUUUUUUAACAUCCUGCAUCAUGGAUAGAGAUGCUGAAGGGAGUGAACUUAGAGAGAUGUACCAUAAAAUAAUAUUUAAAAUAUUCAUCUGCACUCCUCAAAUGCUUUUUGAUGUCAUCCCAAACCUGACACGAGAGUUACUGACUGAUCAAGUUGAUGUUCGAAUAAAAGCUGUAAGUUUGAUCGGGAAACUCUUUUCUGUGCCCGGAUGCCGAGCUGCACAGAAUUAUCAUGAUCUCUUUGUAGAGUUUUUGAACAGAUUCUCUGAUAAAUCUGUGGAAGUUAGAGUUACAGCUUUACAAUGCGUAAAAGAUUUCUGUACAGCCAACCCCACUGGGGGUGAAUUACAUGAAGUUCUUUCUGCACUUGAGGGCCGGCUACUGGACAUAGAUGAUAGAGUGAGGAUACAGGCCGUGGCAGCUAUCUGUGAUCUGGCGAAAUGUAAUUUUAAGUUCAUUCCACUCACACUGAUAUCUCAAGCUGCUGAAAGACUUAGAGAUAAGAAGAUAUCUGUGAGGAAGAAGGCCUUGCAGAAGUUGAUGGAAGUAUAUAGGAGUUAUUGCAGCAAGUGUGCUGAAGGCAACAUGACCAUAGUUGACCACUUUGAACGGAUUCCCUGCAAUAUCUUGAUGCUCUCCUAUGAUAGAGAUUGUAAGGAGUUCAGGUCCCAAAACAUGGAACUUCUACUUGCUGAAGAUUUAUUUCCUGAUAUUCCCCUACUGGAGAGAACAAUGCAUUGGGUGCACAUGUUUUCUCUGUUCACAUCUUUGCAUGUAAAGGCAUUGGAUACUAUAUUGUUUCAGAAACACAGGUUGCAAUCUGAGCUGAGAAAUUUUUUGGCUCUAAGAAAGAAAGAGAAGGAGACCUGUCUGGAUGAACUGGACAACAAAAUCAAAGCAUCAUUUGAGAGAAUGUCUGCAUCAUUUCCAGAUCCAGCCAAAGCACUGGAGUGCUUUUACAAGCUAGACCAGAUGAAGGAUAAUUAUAUUUUUAAUGCGCUUGCUCAGCUAUUGGAUGAAGCAUCAAUUAUAAAAGCUCGACAUGCCCGAGAAAAUUUCGUGAAAAAGAUCAGGGAUAGACAUCCACAUGUUGAUUUUUUGCGUUUACUAAGUGCCAAGUGCAUCUUCAGCAUAUUCAGCUCAGAAUAUGUGCAGAAUAUACUGGAUUAUCUUUCCAGUGGGAAAUUUGGAGGCAGACACUUGGAGGCUUCUUCAAUCAAACUACUUAUGGCUAUUGUUCGUUACUGCCCAUCCCUCCUCAAAGGCUCAGAAGUGAAGCUCCGUUUGUUAUUAGAGAAGAAUGAGCCCUAUCGCGAUCCAAUGACCAAAAUCUUAGCUAAAGCAGGCAGCCACAUUUUUGUCAAACUCAGUGAUAUUUACCCAAUCUUGGAGCAGAUGUGCCUUGAUGGUACUCGUGCUCAAUCCAAAGUCGCUGUUUCCGCAAUUGCUGCUGUCAUGGGCAGUUCGGAGCAAUACAUUUUUUCAGAACUAACCAAGAGACUGGUGGAUUCAUUGCAUAGUGGGCAGAAUCUACCCACUGUCUUGCAAUCUUUGGGAUGUCUUGCACAGCAUUCAACUGCCACCUUCGAGGAUCUAGAUGGAGAGAUUACUGCACUUAUACUAGAGAAAAAUUUUCAGAUGAAUUCGCUGGACAAUUCAACGUCUGGGGACGAGACAUCUGGAUGUAGUAAUUCCUGCAAAUUAAGGAUUUAUGGCCUAAAAACUCUUGUCAAAAGCUUUUUACCUCAUCGGGGCAGCCACGUGAGGAGAAAUAUUGACCAUUUGUUGAGCUUGUUGGCAAAAAUGUUGCAAGAAGGAAAAACUUCUGAUUCUGUCCUCUCCAGUGGAAAUGACUCCUCUCAUUUAAGACUGGCUGCAGCAAAAUCUGUUCUUAGGCUUUCUAAGAGAUGGGAUUUACACAUAUCUCCAGAAAUAUUUCACUAUACAAUCUUAACUGCAAAGGAUCCUUCUUCCUUGGUCAGGAGAAUAUUCAUAGAUAAAACACGUAAACUACUAAGGGAGCGUGUUAUUCCAAGUAGAUAUGCAUGUGCUUUUGCAUUGGCCACUUCAGAUUGCGUCACAGAGAUAAAAGAUGAUUCUUUCAAAUAUAUGGGAGAGUUUGUUAAGGAUCAUGCCAGGGAAGCUCGUGGUCACCAGAAAUCUUCUGUGCAAGGAUGUUCAACCACUGAUUUGCCAGUUUACAUAUUGGUAUUCUUGAUUCAUGUUCUUGCUCAUGACGAGGAUUUCCCUCCGGAAAAAUAUCAGGACGAACACAUAUUCUGUCACUUUUGCAGCCCUCUUUUUCACCUCAUACAGGCUUUAGUAAACCCGGAGAAUGUCAAUGGUGAUUUGGUUCUCAUUUCUGACACUUUCUCACAAUUGUUUAGUAUAUUUAGAGGUAUUAGAAAAGCUGAGGAUGCUGUUGAUGCUCAUAAAUCUCCUAGACUGCACAUUCUGUCAGAGAUUGGAAGUGCCUUUACAAGUUCGUUAAACCAGGGCAGUAUCUCCUCAUCACGUUCUCCUGGGGUUGUCUUACUGCCAUCAUCAAUUUAUACAGCCAAUACAAAGGGUAUUACUUGCUAUGCUAUCGAAGACGGACUUGUUGAGAAGAUUAUCGAGGUUUUCAAGAAUAACAUCUCCAAGGUUGCUGGCAGUCUUGCUAAAUAUGGUAGAAGUUUUGUUAAGCAUCGUGAACAACCAGAAAACACGAAGUUGAAAAGAUUGAGAAAUGUGUUGCAUGAGCAAGUCAAUUCCUUGACUUCUAGAAACUCGGGAACUCAAAAAGAUACUGCUAGCAAGAUUAGUCCAGGAAUGAAACGAAAGCUCGUUCCCUCUCCAGAUGCGGAUUCUGUUUUGUUAUGCGAGGAGGUUCCACCAAUUGUGGAGCAUGGAAAUAAUGAAUUUGAACCAACCGUGGACAAAGAACAGCUUCUAUCUUCUUGUGAUUCUGUAGAUAAAGUUACAAUGUCGACAGAGAAACAAGCGAAGAGUAGGAAGACUAGUAGAAAUGGUAUUUCUUUGAAAGAGAAUACCGAGGCAGGUAGUAGUGUAACCACUGAUUCUAAUGCGUCUUACAGAGCCAAGCUUCGAGAUCCAUCCCGCUUGAAGGAAACUCGUUGUAAUAAAGAGGUGCAAGUUCUGCAGCAAAUCAAAUUGUUCUCUAUAGUCGAUGAAUGAUCGGGAAAUGUUGGAUGGCAGUGAGGAGGAUGAAAUAAUGUGCUUAAAGUGAAACCCUGGAGAUAAUCAAGCGCUGGAUGGGCUGCGGAACUCAGAGGAAGAAGUUUGGGUCAUCAUGUGAACUCUCAGGUGAUCAGGAAAUUGCUCUUGCCAUCUAAUGCUACAGGCAUAGCAGUUAGUAUAAUCAAUUGGCAAGUGCCAUCCUGGUGAAUGUUCGGGGUUCCAUUAAACAUUUUGGUUCUUGUAUAGCAUUUUAUAAUGACCAGGUAAAAUAUUAUAUAUAAUGCUUGUGUAGAAAUUAUUUGUGUACUGGCUAGUGGCUACCUGUGUUUGGGUCUGACUUAUUUCAAAGUCAAACAAACCAGGAGUAAGAUCUCACGAGGUGCUUGAAGGAUGUAAUUACUGGAAGCGAGUCUUGAAUCUCUCUUAAUUAUUUACAAAA